GACGAACGCUGGCGGCGUGCUUAACACAUGCAAGUCGAACGGAAAGACCCUGCUUUUGUGGGGUGCUCGAGUGGCGAACGGGUGAGUAACACGUGAGUAACCUGCCCUUGACUUUGGGAUAACUUCAGGAAACUGGGGCUAAUACCGGAUAGGAGCUCCUGCUGCAUGGUGGGGGUUGGAAAGUUUCGGCGGUUGGGGAUGGACUCGCGGCUUAUCAGCUUGUUGGUGGGGUAGUGGCUUACCAAGGCUUUGACGGGUAGCCGGCCUGAGAGGGUGACCGGCCACAUUGGGACUGAGAUACGGCCCAGAGUCCUACGGGAGGCAGCAGUGGGGAAUAUUGCACAAUGGGCGGAAGCCUGAUGCAGCAACGCCGCGUGCGGGAUGACGGCCUUCGGGUUGUAAACCGCUUUCGCCUGUGACGAAGAGUGAGUGACGGUAAUGGGUAAAGAAGCACCGGCUAACUACGUG
rnacentral:rRNA from 1 species